UCCUGAAAUUGAUAAAAAUUUAGAAAGGUACCAUUCUUCCCAACAAUAUCAUUUACAUGUAGAAUACCCUUACUAUGCCAGUCUUUGAAAAACACUGGUUUGUUGUCAAUUUGGAAUAGGUUAUUCAUCCAAAUUGGACUGGAAAGAAAAUAUUCCCAGUCGUGCAAAUUCAUUUCUUUUUCAAUUACCAUUUGCCAAGCACCCAGUACAUCUUUCCAAAAUUUAUUCUUAAUACUUUGCUGUAGUUGCUUUACAUAGCUAUUACCACAACUAAAGAAUCUAUCUUUAUCAACAUAUGACAAAAAUAUAUUUCGCCAUUUACAAUCGUUUUUAAAAAGUCUUCUUAUCCAAGUACAUUUCAAAGCAUUUAUAAAAGCAUGUAAAUUAAUCAUUUUUAAGCCUCCAUCACAAUAAUCUUUUUGUAUUACAUCUUUUUUCACUCUAUGAACUGGUGAGUUCCAAAUAAACUUAUACAUAAGUUCAUUUAUCUGUUUAAUAAUAUCUUCACUUGGAUUAGGUAGUGACAAUAUUAAAUGAUUUAAAAUUGGCAACAUAAGUGUCUUUACAACAGUAAUUCGACCAAUAACAGUAAUGUUACGUCUAGACCAUUGUUUGACUAGUCUUUUUAUUUUUACAAUAUUUUCAUCAUAAUUGAUUUUAACUAGUUUUUCUAAAACAACAUCAAAAUUAACACCCAAUAAUUUAAAGGAUGUGCUUCCCCAAGUAAGAUUUUGAUUUGUACAAAGUGUCUCUGUGCUGUACUUUUUACUUCCAAUCCAAAUUACAUGAGUUUUGGAAAAAUUUAUAUUCAAACCAGAAAUUUGAGCAAACCAAUCUAGUUCCAAUAAUGCCUCAUUUAAAGAUUCUUCACUACCAUCUAAAAGUAGUGAUGUAUCGUCAGCAAACUGUGAUAGUUUGUGUUCAACAUGAAGAACUUUGAUUCCAUUUAUAUUUUUGUUAUUUCUUAUUUUUAACGCUAAAAUUUCAGCACAAAGAAUGAAAAGAUAAGGCGAUAAUGGAUCACCUUGCCUACAACCCCGUUCAACAGUGAAAAAGUCUGAAAGAUUCCCUCCCUGAAUGACUGCUGAAUUAAUGUUUUGAUAGAGCACUUUCACCCAAUUUAUAAUAGAAUCGCCAAAAUUAAAAAAUUUCAAUACAUUUAAAAGAAAUUCCCAUGAAAUGGAAUCAAAGGCUUUUUCAAAAUCUAUCAACAAUAAAAGGCCUGGUAUAUCAUUAUCUUCAGUAUAUUCCAUGAUAUCAUAGAUCAAUCUUAGAUUUUCCCCAAUAUAUCUUCCACUCAUAAAACCUGUCUGAUCAGUAUCAAUAAGUUUAGUCAAAACUGUUCUAAAUCUACUUGCUAUAACCCCAGAGCCAAUUUUAUAUACAGUAUUAAGCAAAGAUAUAGGGCGCCAGUUUUUUAAAAAAUGUCUAGGCUUGUUACCCUUUGGAAGACAUGUAAUUAUCCCCUGUUUUUGAGUAACAGAAAGUUCCCCUUUAUCAUAACCUGCAUUCAAGGAUCUUACAACAAAAAAUUUUAAGUCAGGCCAGAAAAAUUAAAAAAAUUCACUUGAAAAACCAUCUGAUCCAGGCGUUUUAUUGUCAUUCUUU
rnacentral:lncRNA from 1 species